rnacentral:rRNA from 1 species
GCUAAUCCCACUAAAGAGUCCUUAUCUAUAGCGGGGGUUGGCACCUCGAUGUUGGCUUAGGGAAUCUAUGUGGCGCAAAAGUCACAUAAAGAUGGUUUGUUCAACCAAUAACACCCUACAUGAGCUGAGUUCAGACCGGCGUAAGCCAGGUUAGUUUCUAUCCUCGACAUAUAACACUACUUAUAGUACGAAAGGACCUAAGUAAGAAUAAUAAUUACAAUUAACGAAUAAAUAUAAUAACCAAUAAAUUCAAAUUAUCCUAUACUAGG